rnacentral:lncRNA from 1 species
AUGUUUUUCCCUAUACAUACAUAUCUAUGAUAAAGUUUAAUUUAUAAACUAGGCACAGUAAUAGAGUAACACAAAAUAAAAUAGAACAAUUAUAACAAUACGCCAGCGUUGCUUCUCUUCUGCUUUGGGGCCAUUAUUCGUUAAAGUAAGGGUGACUUAAACCCAAGCACCAUAAUAUCACUGCAGUCGAGCUGGUAACCAAGACGAAGUGACUAAUAGGCAGGCAGCGUGGAUGAUUCACAUCCCAGGUGGGACAGAGCAGGACAUGUAAGAUUUCAUCACGCUACUCACAACGGCAUGCAACUUAACACUUAUAAAAUAUUUAUUUCUGGAAUUUUACAUUUAACAUUUUCAGACUGCAGUUGACAGCAGAUAACUGAAAGCUCAGAAAGCGAAACUGUGGAUGUUGGGGGGGGGGAACUAUGGCAUCACAUUUAAAAUUGCUUCUGUAAGUUUAUGUUUGAAGUAUUUUGUUCCUUGAAAAUAUGCUUGCCUUUUUUCUUUUCUCAUUGUUCUUACUAAUUGCAUGACUUAAUUUCUCAUACAUUGUUGCCCCUCAGCGCUACGUCACUGAAGUUUUAGGAAGUUAAAUGUUAUGUUCCUGUAAAGAUAAAAAGUGUCGCCGGGCGCGGUGGUUCACGCCUGUAAUCCCAGAACUUUCGGAGGCUGAGGCGGGCAGAUCACAAGGAUAUGGAAACUGUCAUGAAGAAUAAUUUCAGGAACUGGAGAUUCCUUUAUCCAGAGAUUUAAAAAAAGACAUACAUACAUACAUAUAUAUAUGUAUAUAUACACACACACACAUAUAUAUACAUAUUAAAAAAGACAUACAUAUAUACAUAUAUAUAUAUUUUUAAAUCUUGGAGUCUUGCUCUGUCACCCAGGCUGGAAUGCAAUGACAUGAUCUCAGCUCACUGCAGCCUCCACCUCCCGGUUCAAGCAAUUCUCCUGCCUCAGCCUCCCAAGUAGCUGGGAUUACAGGCGCCCGCCACCACACCUGGCUAAUUUUUGUAUUUUUAGUAGAGGUGGGGUUUCUCCAUGUUGGCCAGGCUAGUCUCAAACUCCGGGCCUCAGGUGAUCUGCCUCCCAAAGUGCUGGGAUUACAGGUGUGAGUCACGGCACCUGGCCUGAAUAGGUAGAUAUGUGAUAAACCCAAUAUAGAAAAAAUUUAAUGGUAGAAUCUAGAUGGUGAAUAUAUAGGUGGUUCAUUGUAGAAUUCUUUCAACUUUUCUGUACACUUGAAAAGUUUUAUAAUAAAAAUGUUAUACACAGAGAGAGAGAGAGAGAC